rnacentral:rRNA from 1 species
UACGGGGGGGGGCAAGCGUUUGUUCGGAAUUACUGGGCGUAAAGGGCUCGUAGGCGGCCAACUAAGUCAGACGUGAAAUCCCUCGGCUUAACCGGGGAACUGCGUCUGAUACUGGAUGGCUAGAGGUUGGGAGAGGGAUGCGGAAUUCCAGGUGUAGCGGUGAAAUGCGUAGAUAUUGGGAGGAACACCAGUGGCGAAGGCGGUUCUCUGGGCAUUACCUGACGCUGAGGAGCGAAAGCAUGGGGAGCGAACAGG